rnacentral:rRNA from 1 species
CCCGAUGGAGGGGGAUAACUACUGGAAACGGUAGCUAAUACCGCAUAACGUCGCAAGACCAAAGUGGGGGACCUUCGGGCCUCACACCAUCGGAUGUGCCCAGAUGGGAUUAGCUAGUAGGUGGGGUAAUGGCUCACCUAGGCGACGAUCCCUAGCUGGUCUGAGAGGAUGACCAGCCACACUGGAACUGAGACACGGUCCAGACUCCUACGGGAGGCAGCAGUGGGGAAUAUUGCACAAUGGGCGCAAGCCUGAUGCAGCCAUGCCGCGUGUAUGAAGAAGGCCUUCGGGUUGUAAAGUACUUUCAGCGGGGAGGAAGGCGGUGAAGUUAAUAGCUUCACCGAUUGACGUUACCCGCAGAAGAAGCACUGGCUAACUCCGUGCCAGCAGCCGCGGUAAU